rnacentral:rRNA from 1 species
GACGAACGCUGGCGGCGUGCCUAACACAUGCAAGUCGAACGAAGUGGCGAACGGGUGAGUAAUACGUGGGUAACCUGCCCUCCUUUUUGGGAUAAGCCUUGGAAAACGGGUCCAAUACCGGCUAAAGGGGGAUGGGCUCGGGGCCUAGCAGCUUGGUGGGGGGGUAAUGGCCUACCAAGGCGGUGCCGGGUAGCCGGCCGGAGAAGGCGACCUGCAACAUUGGGACGGGGAUACGGCCCAGGCGCGGACGGGGGGCGGCAGGGGGGGAUAUUGCGCAAUGGGCGAAAGCCUGAUGCAGCGACGCCGCGUGGGGGAUGAGGGCUUUCGGGUUGUAAACGUCUGGCGGUAGCGAACGGGUAGGUGGAGAAGAAGCGCCGGCUAACUACGUGCCAGCAGCCGCGGUAAUUC